GAUGAACGCUAGCGGCAGGCCUAACACAUGCAAGUCGAGGGAUAAGCCUUCGGGCUAAGACCGGCGCACGGGUGCGUAACGCGUAUACAAUCUGCCUUUUAUCCGGGGGAUAGCCCGAAGAAAUUUGGAUUAAUACCCUAUGGUAUAAGAGCACGGCAUCGUGCACUUAUUAAAGCUACGGCGGUAAAAGAUGAGUAUGCGUUCUAUUAGCUAGUUGGAGAGGUAACGGCUCCCAAGGCGACGAUAGAUAGGGGUUCUGAGAGGGAUGUCCCCCACACUGGUACUGAGAUACGGACCAGACUCCUACGGGAGGCAGCAGUGAGGAAUAUUGGACAAUGGUCGGAAGACUGAUCCAGCCAUGCCGCGUGCAGGAGGACGGCCUUAUGGGUUGUAAACUGCUUUUGUAAGGGAAGAAUAAGGAGUACGUGUACUUUGAUGACGGUACCUUACGAAUAAGCAUCGGCUAACUCCGUG
rnacentral:rRNA from 1 species